rnacentral:tRNA from 1 species
GCUUUCCUGUGGCUCAGUUGAUAGAGCAUUGCCCUAACAACGCAAAGGUUGUGGGUUCAUAUCCCAGGGAAAGCA